rnacentral:rRNA from 1 species
UUCUUAAUGAAAAUAAAAUUAAGUACCUCCUGCUCAAUGAAACUUAAAUAGCCGCAAUUAUUUGUGCUAAGGUAGCAUAAUCAUUAGUCUUUUAAUUGAAGAAUAGAAUGAAAGGAUAAACGAGUAAUUUACUGUAUCUCGCCAAAACUAUAAAACUUAUUGUAAUGUAAAAAAUCAUUAAUACUACAGCUAGACGACAAGACCCUAUUGAACUUUUACUCCGUUAAGCUGGGGCGGCUUCUAGACCAUUCCUCUAACCUUAUAUUUAAUAAAUUGACCUUAUAUUAUAAAUUUCCUGAACAAGUUACCAUAGGGAUAACAGUGUAAUUUAUUUUAAGAGCUCUUAUCAAAAAAUAAGAUUGCAACCUCGAUGUUGAAUAGCAACCUAAUUGAAGCAACAUUCUAUUUAAGGAAGUCUGUUCGACUUUUAAACAGCUACA